UACGUAGGGAGCAAGCGUUGUCCGGAAUCAUUGGGCGUAAAGCGCGCGUAGGUGGCCCUGUAAGUCCGCUGUGAAAGUCAAAGGCUCAACCUUUGAAAGCCGGUGGAUACUGCAGGGCUAGAGUACGGAAGAGGCGAGUGGAAUUCCUGGUGUAGCGGUGGAAUGCGCAGAUAUCAGGAGGAACACCAAUAGCGAAGGCAGCUCGCUGGGACGUUACUGACACUGAGGCGCGAAAGCUAGGGGAGCAAACGGG
rnacentral:rRNA from 1 species